rnacentral:rRNA from 1 species
CAGCAGCCGCGGUAAUACGUAGGGGGCAAGCGUUAUCCGGAAUUACUGGGUGUAAAGGGAGCGUAGACGGUUAAACAAGUCUGAAGUGAAAUGCCGGGGCUCAACCCCGGAGCUGCUUUGGGAACUGUAGAACUGGAGUGUCGGAGGGGUAAGCGGAAUUCCCAGUGUAGCGGUGAAAUGCGUAGAUAUUGGGAGGAACACCGGCGGCGAAGGCGGCUUACUGGACGACAACUGACGUUGAGGCUCGAAGGCGUGGGUAGCAAACUGGAUUAGAUACCCGGGUAGUCCCUGUCUCUUAUAC